rnacentral:rRNA from 1 species
UACGUAGGGUGCGAGCGUUAAUCGGAAUUACUGGGCGUAAAGCGUGCGCAGGCGGUUCGCCAAGUCAGGUGUGAAAUCCCCGGGCUUAACCUGGGAAUUGCGCUUGAAACUAGCGGGCUUGAGUGCGGCAGAGGGGGGUGGAAUUCCACGUGUAGCAGUGAAAUGCGUAGAUAUACGGAGGAACACCAGCGGCGAAGGCGGGUAGCUGGGCCAACACUGACGCUGAUGCGCGAAAGCUAGGGGAGCAAACGGG